AUCUCCAGAAUUUACCACAAAAUGGGCAGAAAAAAACAAAAUUGGGGGAAUUUGCCCCAAAAUGGGCACAAAAAACCCCAAAUCUCAGAAUUUACCCCAAAAUGGGCACAAAAAAACCCUAAAUCUCCGGAAUUUGCCCCAAAAUGGGCACAAAAAACCCAAAAUCUCAGAAUUUACCCCAAAAUGGGCACAAAAAACCCCAAAUCUCCAGAAUUUGCCCCAAAAUUGGGAACAAGAGCCCCAAAAUUGGGGGAAUUUGCCCCAAAAUGGGCACAAAAAGCCCAAAAUUUCAGAAUUUGCCCCAAAAUGGGCACAAAAAAAUCCUAAAUCUCCAGAAUUUGCCCCAAAAUUGGGACCGAGAGCCCCAAAAUUGGGGGAAUUUGCCCCAAAAUGGGCACAAAAAACCCCAAAUCUCCGGAAUUUACCCCAAAAUGGGCACAAAAAAAACCCAAAAUCUCUGGAAUUUGCCCCAAAAUUGGGAACAAGAGCCCCAAAAUUGGGGGAAUUUGCCCCACAAUGGGCACAAAAUACCCAAAAUCUCCAGAAUUUACCCCAAAAUGGGCACAAAAAACCCCAAAUCUCCAGAAUUUACCCCAAAAUGGGCACAAAAAAACCCUAAAUCUCCAGAAUUUGCCCCAAAAUUGGGGGCAUUUGCCCCAAAAUGGGCACAAAAAGCCCCAAAAUCUCCGGAAUUUGCCCCAAAAUGGCGCCGAGGAGCACCAACCUCCCCCCUCCCCUCCCU
rnacentral:lncRNA from 1 species